UACGAAGGGGGCUAGCGUUGCUCGGAAUUACUGGGCGUAAAGGGCGCGUAGGCGGAUACUUAAGUUAGAGGUGAAAGCCCAGGGCUCAACCCUGGAACAGCCUUUAAUACUGGGUAUCUUGAGUUCGGGAGAGGUGAGUGGAACUCCGAGUGUAGAGGUGAAAUUCGUAGAUAUUGGGAAGAACACCGGUGGCGAAGGCGGCGCUCUGGACCGAGACUGACGCUGAGGCGCGAAGGCGUGGGGAGCAAACAGG
rnacentral:rRNA from 1 species